rnacentral:rRNA from 1 species
GCUUACGGCCGUACCACCCUGAGAACGCCCGAUCUCGUCUGAUCUCGGAAGCUAAGCAGGGUCGGGCCUGAUUAGCACUUGGAUGGGAGACCGCCUGGGAAUACCAGCUGCUGUAAGCU